UCUAGAUCUCAACAUAUGGCCGGUCCAUC
rnacentral:piRNA from 1 species